GGCGUGCUUAAUACAUGCAAGUCGCGCGAGAAAGCACCCUUCGGGGUGUGAGUAAAGCGGCGCACGGGUGAGUAACACGUAAGUAACUUACCUCCAAGUUCGGAAUAACCUUGCCAACGCGGGGCUAAUACCGGAUGUGGUCCCGGAGUCGAGUGGCUCUGGGAUUAAAGUAGACCUCUACCUGUAAGUUUGCGCUUGGAGAUGGACUUGCGUACCAUUAGCUUUGGCAGGGUAACUGCCUACCAAGGCAGUGAUGGUUAGCCGACCUGAGAGGGUGAUCGGCCACAUUGGGACUGAGAUACGGCCCAGACUCCUACGGGAGGCAGCAGUAGGGAAUUUUGCGCAAUGGACGAAAGUCUGACGCAGCGACGCCGCGUGAGGGAUGAAGGUUUUCGGAUCGUAAACCUCUGUUGAGUGAGAAGAAAACGUCCGCGGGUAAUAUCCGCGGGCCUUGACGGUACCACUCGAGGAAGCCCCGGCUAACUACGUGCCAGCAGCCGCGGUAAUACGUAGGGGGCAAGCGUUGUUCGGAAUUACUGGGCGUAAAGGGAGUGUAGGCGGGAAGAUAAGUUAGGAGUUUAAUCCUCAGGCUCAACCUGAGAGCUGCUCUUAAGACUGUUUUUCUUGAGUAUGGGAGAGGGUGAUGGAAUUCCAGGUGUAGCGGUGGAAUGCGUAGAUAUCUGGAAGAACACCAGUUGCGAAGGCGGUCACCUGGCCCAAUACUGACGCUGAGGCUCGAAAGCUAGGGGAGCAAACAGGAUUAGAUACCCUGGUAGUCCUAGCCGUAAACUAUGGAUACUAGAUGCUGGAAAAGUCAAUCUUUUCAGUGUCGUAGCUAACGCGAUAAGUAUCCCGCCUGGGAAGUACGCUCGCAAGGGUGAAACUCAAAGGAAUUGACGGGGGCCCGCACAAGCGGUGGAGAAUGUGCUUCAAUUCGAUACAACGCGAAGAACCUUACCUGGGUUUGACAUGGGAGUGAAGGUCGUCAGAGAUGAUGGCCCUUCCGCAAGGAACACUCUACACAGGUGCUGCAUGGUUGUCGUCAGCUCGUGUCGUGAGAUGUUGGGUUAAGUCCCGCAACGAGCGCAACCCUCGCUCUUAGUUGCCAUCAGGUAAAGCUGGGAACUCUAAGGUACCGCCUGUAAUAAACAGGAGGAAGGUGGGGAUGACGUCAAAUCAUCAUGGCCCUUACGUCCAGGGCUAGACACGUUCUACAAUGGCCGGUACAAUGGGCAGCAAACUCGCGAGAGUAAGCUAAUCCCUCAAAACCGGUCUCAGUUCAGAUUGGAGUCUGCAACUCGACUCCAUGAAGUUGGAAUCGCUAGUAAUCGCGGAUCAGCAUGCCGCGGUGAAUACGUUCCCGGGCCUUGUACACACCGC
rnacentral:rRNA from 1 species